rnacentral:lncRNA from 1 species
GGAGUAGGAGAUGAGACUUGGUCUGGGGCAAUUGCACCGUUCUCUCCCUCCGCACAUAACUAAUCGAGAACGAACUUCGCAAUUAGAGUUCCGUGACUUCCGGGCUUAGCUCUGCAGAUGUUUUCAGGACGAAGAGAAGACGGUGCUAGUCUUUGAGGGAUGUCCGCUCUUGCCGCUGCACAAGUAACUGCUGUUGUCGCCUUGUCCGCCG